GGAGCUUGCUUCUCCGGAUGAGUUGCGAACGGGUGAGUAACGCGUAGGUAACCUGCCUGGUAGCGGGGAUAACUAUUGGAAACGAUAGCUAAUACCGCAUAAGAGUAGAUGUUGCAUGACAUUUGCUUAAAAGGUGCAAUUGCAUCACUACCAGAUGGACCUGCGUUGUAUUAGCUAGUUGGUGGGGUAACGGCUCACCAAGGCGACGAUACAUAGCCGACCUGAGAGGGUGAUCGGCCACACUGGGACUGAGACACGGCCCAGACUCCUACGGGAGGCAGCAGUAGGGAAUCUUCGGCAAUGGACGGAAGUCUGACCGAGCAACGCCGCGUGAGUGAAGAAGGUUUUCGGAUCGUAAAGCUCUGUUGUAAGAGAAGAACGAGUGUGAGAGUGGAAAGUUCACACUGUGACGGUAUCUUACCAGAAAGGGACGGCUAACUACGUGCCAGCAGCCGCGGUAAUACGUAGGUCCCGAGCGUUGUCCGGAUUUAUUGGGCGUAAAGCGAGCGCAGGCGGUUAGAUAAGUCUGAAGUUGAAGGCUGUGGCUUAACCAUAGUACGCUUUGGAAACUGUUUACUUGAGUGCAAGAGGGGAGAGUGGAAUUCCAUGUGUAGCGGUGAAAUGCGUAGAUAUAUGGAGGAACACCGGUGGCGAAAGCGGCUCUCUGGCUUGU
rnacentral:rRNA from 1 species